rnacentral:rRNA from 1 species
UACAGAGGUCCCAAGCGUUGUUCGGAUUCACUGGGCGUAAAGGGUGCGUAGGUGGUCGGGUAAGUCUGAUGUGAAAUCUCCGAGCUCAACUCGGAAAUGGCAUUGGAUACUAUUCGGCUAGAGGGUUGGAGGGGGGACUGGAAUACUUGGUGUAGCAGUGAAAUGCGUAGAUAUCAAGUGGAACACCAGUGGCGAAGGCGAGUCCCUGGAAAACUCCUGACACUGAGGCACGAAAGCUAGGGGAGCAAACAGGAUUAGAAACC